AGAGUUUGAUCAUGGCUCAGAACGAACGCUGGCGGCGCGUUUUAAGCAUGCAAGUCGAGCGGCAAGGGUCUUCGGGCCCCUAGAGCGGCGGACGGGUGAGUAACACGUGGACAAUCUGCCCCCCGGCCGGGGAUAGCCCAGGGAAACCUGGAUUAAUACCGGAUGAGACGGGACCCGCGGAGGCGGGAUCCGGGAAAGGCGCUGCGGCGCCGCCGGGGGAUGAGUCUGCGUCCCAUUAGCUUGACGGCGGGGUAACGGCCCACCGUGGCGACGAUGGGUAGCCGGCCUGAGAGGGUGUACGGCCACAUUGGAACUGAGACACGGUCCAGACUCCUACGGGAGGCAGCAGCUAAGAAUCUUCCGCAAUGGGCGAAAGCCUGACGGAGCGACGCCGCGUGAACGAAGAAGGCCGUGAGGUUGUAAAGUUCUUUUCGGGAGGGGGAACGACCGUGGCAGGGAAUGGCCGCGGGAUGACGUGAAUCCCGGAAUAAGCCCCGGCUAACUACGUGCCAGCAGCCGCGGUAACACGUAGGGGGCGAGCGUUGUUCGGAAUCAUUGGGCGUAAAGGGCGUGCAGGCGGUCCUGCAAGUCCGGCGUGAAAGACCCCGGCCCAACCGGGGGGGCGCGCUGGAAACUGCAGGGCUUGAGUACAGGAGGGGAUGCCGGAAUUCCAGGUGUAGGGGUGAAAUCUGUAGAUAUCUGGAGGAACACCAAUGGCGAAGGCAGGCAUCUGGCCAUGUGCUGACGCUGAGACGCGAAGGUGCGGGGAGCAAACAGGUUUAGAUACCCUGGUAGUCCGCACAGUAAACGAUGUGCACCAGGUGGCGGGGGGUCGACCCCCGGUACCGUAGCCAACGCAUUAAGUGCACCGCCUGGGGAGUAUGCUCGCAAGGGUGAAACUCAAAUGAAUUGACGG
rnacentral:rRNA from 1 species